rnacentral:tRNA from 1 species
CCAAAGUGCAAAUUUGGCGCAGCACCCUAACGGUGCCGAGGCUU